rnacentral:rRNA from 1 species
CCUACGGGGGGCAGCAGUUACGAGAACUUUACAAUGCGCGAAAGCGUGAUAAGGGGAUCCUAAGUGAUAUAGCUUAUGGUUAUAUCUGUGGAGAAAUGUAAAAUAUUUCUCAAGAAAGGGGUGGGCAAUAUCGGUGCCAGCAGCCGCGGUAAUACCGGAGCCCCGAGUGGUGACCGUUUUUAUUGGGUCUAAAGCGUCCGUAGCCGGAUUAUUAAGUUCUCAGUGAAAUUGUUAGGCUUAACCUAACGAAUGGCCUUGAAUACUGGUAAUCUAGGGAUCGGGAGAGGCCAAGAGUAUGCCUAGGGGAGGGGUAAAAUCCUUUAAUCCUAGGCAGACUACCAAUGGCGAAGGCACUUGGCUAGAACGAGUCCGACGGUGAGGGACGAAAGUUAGGGUAGCAAACGGGAUUAGAUACCCCCGUAGUCC